rnacentral:rRNA from 1 species
AUGCUCAGCUUAUUUCUUUUCAAACGAUCUCAAAUCGAGCUAAAAGACGAAUCAAUCUCCAGUGGCUCAUGCGCCUCGAGCUUUUCUUAUAGCCCUAUUUACACUAAAGUACCAUGUCUAGAUCAAUUUCUAGUACUAAAUAUCCAGCAAAAAAUCCCUAACAUAAGGGGUAAGAUGUACGGCGCGAUGGAAGAAGAGGUUUUUCCAGUCGCAGCACCAUCACUGAGAGACGUGCAAUGCGGGAGGUUUGCAACCACGUUGGAGAAGAGUUCAGCAGUCACACGCGGGCGCUCCCCAAAAAACCUUCUUGCCCCACUCCUGUGA